CAACAAACCUCAACUUAAAAGCUUUUAGAUGGUUUCCUGUUGCUUACAGAACGUAAUUAACGCUUCUUAGCAUAAUUUGCUAGGCCGUUCUACAUAACCCAGGCCCAAGCCACCUCAACCGCUGUUGCUUUUUUUAAAAUAUUUUAUUUAUUUAUGAGAGAGAGAGAGAGGCAGAGACACGGGCAGAGGGAGAAGCAGGCUCCAUGCAGGGAGCCCAACGUGGGACUCGAUCCCAGGACCCCAGGAUCACGCCCUGGGCCGAAGGCGGCGCUAAACCGCUGAGCCACCAGGGAUCCGAACUCGCUGUGUUCCCUGAUACUCUGGAACUUCCCUUUAAAUUCGAUGGUCAAAAAUUUUUGCGGUUGCGACCAAUUCCACAUUGCUCCACUUCUCAGUGCCUUUGCUUAUGCGCAUUUGCCAUUCCCACCCGGGAAUCUCGCCGUUACCUUCCUGAAAACUCAGGCAUCAGAAAGUUCUCCCUGAAUCCCCGGUGGCCUGUUAAGUAAACUACGUUCCCUCUACCAUAUUUAUCAAUGUGUCGGUUCUUUUGUGCCUCUAGACAGCACAUUCCUUGGGAGCAGAAGUCAGGCGUUUACAGCCCAGGUGUUGGGUUUCCCUUCUGAGGUAGCAGGUACGACGAGAACGGGGCGGAGUCUGGAGUUCGUCUGAGGGGCUGAUAGGUGGGCCCGCGGAAGGCGAGUGACGUAGUGGGACGAGGUUUCGUGAGUGGAUGGGAACGAGAAAGAAAUGGGACUUUAACUUCCUGGCCACAAGACAGACUGCUAUGGUGUGGGGGCAGGCAGUGAUAAGGCAGUGGGGGAGCGCUAGGAGGGAAGAAUUACUUUCAGGGACACGAAAGAAUUUUCGGGAAGAAGACAUUUGUUGGUGGGCGUUCUGGAAGACUACCCGCCCCCCGGAACCUGGCGUCUUCCGUACUUGGUCCUCCCCGGCGGAGGCACGCUCCCCCCCCGACCCCCCCUUGCGCCUGCGCGCGGCCGCGCCCUUGCUCUUAAUCCCGCCUCUUCCGGCCACCUCUACGGGUGGGGUGCUGGGGGUGUGGUGGCCCUGGCAAGAUGGCGGCUCCCGAGAAGAUGAUGUUUCCGGAGAAACCAAGCCACAAAAAGUACAGGGCUGCCCUGAAAAAGGCGAAACGAAAGAAACGACGGCAGGAACUGGCUCGAUUGAGAGACUCAGGACUCUUACAGAAGGAGGAAGAGGAUGCUUUUAUUGAAGAACAACGCCUAGAAGAAGAGAAGCUGUUGGAGAUAGAGAGGCAAAAAUUACAUGAAGCGUGGUUGCUUCGGGAGCAGAAGGCACAAGAAGAAUUCAGAAGAAAGAAGGAAAAGGAAGAGGCGGCUAGAAAACGGCAGGAAGAACAAGAGGUAGGAGGUUAAUCAGAUGGCCAACUAACUAGUUAACUAAAAUAGCU
rnacentral:lncRNA from 1 species